rnacentral:rRNA from 1 species
GACGAACGCUGGCGGCGUGCUUAACACAUGCAAGUCGAACGAUGAAGAAGAGAAACGCGAACUUCGGUUCAAAUUUCACUUCGGAUUAGUGGCAGACGGGUGAGUAACGCGUGAGCAACCUACCUCUUACAAAGGGAUAGCCUCGGGAAACCGUGAUUAAUACCAUAUGACACAUUCAUAAGGCAUCUUAAGAAUGUUAAAGCUACGGCGGUGAGAGAUGGGCUCGCGUCCCAUUAGCUAGUUGGUGAGGUAACGGCCCACCAAGGCGACGAUGGGUAACCGGCCUGAGAGGGUGAACGGUCACAUUGGAACUGAGACACGGUCCAAACUCCUACGGGAGGCAGCAGUGGGGAAUAUUGCACAAUGGAGGGAACUCUGAUGCAGCGACGCCGCGUGAGCGAUGAAGGAAUUCGUUUCGUAAAGCUCUGUUCUAUGGGAAGAAAAGGACUGUACCAUAGGAGAAAGCCCCGGCUAAAUACGUG